CCGACCUACGGGGCGCAGCAGUAGGGAAUCUUCCACAAUGGACGAAAGUCUGAUGGAGCAACGCCGCGUGAGUGAAGAAGGGUUCCGGCUCGUAAAGCUCUGUUGGUAGUGAAGAAAGAUAGAGGUAGUAACUGGCCUUUAUUUGACGGUAAUUACUUAGAAAGUCGCGGCUAACUACGUGCCAGCAGCCGCGGUAAUACGUAGGUGGCAAGCGUUGUCCGGAUUUAUUGGGCGUAAAGCGAGUGCAGGCGGGUCAAUAAGUCUGAUGUGAAAGCCUUCGGCUCAA
rnacentral:rRNA from 1 species